AAGUCGUAACAAGGUUUCCGUAGGUGAACCUGCGGAAGGAUCAUUAACACGUUUUACCGAACGUUUUUUGAACCAUCAUUUUCUGUGCACCCCCUAACCCGGCCUCCCGACCGAACCCUCCGGUUUACUGGUUGUGUUCGUGCCGGGCGUCUACAGGGUCCAAGGAGCCUCGGAUCAGAAGGAUUGUGCGGGCGUAAUGCCUGUCUUUCUUAGUAUGGCUGAAGCACCUCCUGUAGGCGUUGCCACCCAACCCCAAACCUUGAAUCUAACUGUUCUGAACUGUUAGUUGUGCCGACUUCGGUUGUGCCAACGAUUAAAAAUCAACAACAACUCUUAACAACGGAUAUCUUGGUUCUC
rnacentral:misc_RNA from 1 species